rnacentral:tRNA from 1 species
GGGCGUGUGCCCGAGCGGCCAAAGGGGACGGGCUGUAAACCCGUUGGCUUAACGCCUACGCUGGUUCGAAUCCAGCCGCGCCCA